rnacentral:lncRNA from 1 species
UAACCUGUUUCAUUAAUCUUACAAUUUUUCAGUCAAACUGAUGGCAAUGGUCACUCUUCUUAGCCCUGUGUGACCACAAGGACCGUUCACCAUAACGCUUUUGGAUAACUCUUUCACCAGCUUCAGCAGGUGAAGAGGGAAAUGAGGACAGAGAAUGCAUAUACAUAAGGCGUGGGAAGCCUUCAUCACACCCACGUGUCUUCUGAGCCUUCCCAGGUGAUCCAGGUGAGCUCAUUUCUUACACUUCAUUUCUCCAGCUUGUAAUUAAAUGGAUUAUGACUCCCAGUGGCUUUUGAAUUUAAUUACAAAUGCCAUAGCCUUGAUAAUUAUUACCUGGAGAAAUAAAAGCUAAAUUAUACCACAAGCUUUGUCUUUGCAGUAUCUCCAUCUUUCUUCAUCACUACACAUAAAAGUCUCAUGCAGAGUUUUAACAACAUGUUUCUACCACUCAAUUUCGAGUUUCUUUGUUCUAAGACAUUUAACAAAAUAUGCUCAUAUUUAAAGCAGAAACUUUAACCAAAUCACAAAAUGUCUCUCAAUAAGGUAUAAAUAUCAAGUAUGUAGUGAUAUGGGCUCUUAUCCGUUUUCUAAUAUCAUGUUGAUGUAGCUGAUGGACAUGCCUAGGAUUUACUGCUUGUUUAAAUCAAGAAGUUUAUUCAUUGUUUUCUACUAAGUUUCUACAUUGUUUUCUACUAAGUUUCUACAAAAUCAAAUGAAUUACAUCAACUGAUGAAUUUAAUUUAAAAUAAAAUUGGGGGCUUCCUGGGCUGUUCCAAAUAUUCAGUACCCAUACUUCUCUACAGACCUGUUCAGCUAGAAUUCCUUCGGCCAUUGGACAGCGUCACUUUCUCUCCCCAGUUGCAGUGUUUUGAAAAACAUAAGAGGGAACCUAAGAUUAAUAAGCUUCUAGUUCUCAUGAUAUUUUUAUUAUUCUAAAUAAGAUUAACUUUUUCAAAAGAGGAAAAAUAAUUAAAGAACACCAGUUACCUAGUAGCAUCUUUAAUUUCUUUCAUUCCUUUUUUUUUUUUUUUUUUUUUGAAACGGAAUUUCUCCCUUGUCGCCCAGGCUGGAGUGCAAGGGCGCCAUCUCAGCUCACUGCAACCUUUGCCUCCUGGGUUCAAGCGAUUCCCUAGCCUCAGCCUCCAGAGUAGCUAGUAUUGAUUACAGACACUCACCACCACGUCCAGUUAAUUUUUGUGUCUGUAGUAGAGACGGGGUUUCGCCAUGUUGGUCAGGCUGGUCUCGAACUUCUGACCUCAGGUGAUCCACCCAAUUAGGCCUCCCAAAGUGCUGAGAUUACAAGCGUGAGCCACUAUGCCCAGCUCGCAUCUUUAAUUCUUACAUCAUAAACUACUUUAAUUUUUUAGUGUUUUAUUCUAUAGACUCACUAUAGAAAGUUGUUCAAUUAGUUUGAAUAUAUUUGGAAUUAUACUACGGGACAGGCAUCAUGCUAGAAGUUAGAUAUAA